rnacentral:ncRNA from 1 species
CAUGAAGUCCUUCGGGACAUCGAGACAGGUGGUGCAUGGUUGUCGUCAGCUCGUGUCGUGAGAUGUUGGGUUAAGUCCCGCAACGAGCGCAACCCUUAUUGCCAGUUACUACGCAAGAGGACUCUGGCGAGACUGCCGUUGACAAAACGGAGGAAGGUGGGGAUGACGUCAAAUCAUCAUGCCCUUUAUG